AUGUUGUUUCAACAUUGGGAAACCUGUAUGGUGAUGGAGUUACAUUUACCCUAGUUGAUCUACAACCAUCCAUGGCCUAGUUUUUAAGAAACCUAUUCCCAUGGAAUAGCAAAUUAUAACCAACUCGAUGAAAGAGCUGCUAAAAUGGGAGAACAUAUGAAGAAAAAAAACUAGAGAAGUUGGUGGACAAAGGAAUAGCUAUGUGGCUAACAACACUUCUUUACUUGUGAACAAAACUAAUGAUUUUUUCAAUAUUUCUGGUACUCCAAGCAAUGUUAACUAUGCUCCAACCACCUACACUGUUGACAACACUUCAAGCACUUAGUCUGUGGACAAUGCUCCAAGCACCUACACUGUUGACAAUACUUUGAGCACCUACACUGUGAACAAUACUUUGAAUGCUUACACUGUGGACAAUACUCCAGGUACCUACACUGCGAGCAAUGUAAACAUUUACACUGACAAUACUCCCAGUACUUACACUGCUCACAGCCCUCCAAGCACUAACAUUGCUGACAAAGCUCCCAGCAGUUCUUCCAUUGACCAUGUCCCUAGCAUUUCCAUCUCAGACACUACUCUGAGCCCUGCUACCUCUGAUGGCAUUCUGAACCCUUCUAGCACUAAUCAUACUCCCAAGACUGCCACCUCUGACAGAACUCCCAGAUCAUCUGAUAGUACUCGCAGACCAUCAAGUUUUGACAGUACGCCAAGCUCUUCCGCUUCUCACAGUGCUCCCAACACUUCCAUCUCUGAAAAUGCUCCCAACACUUCUGACAUUGGUAAUGCUCUCAGUACUCCAACACUGCCAGUACUGAGAUUGAGACUAGACAUAGAAAGAAACAGAGUGCUAUAGGAGGUGAAGAAAUCAAGCAGAAACCAAGUGGAAAACAAAACAAGUGACCAUCACCAAAUAAUGCAGAUAAAGUGCCCAGAGUUGCACUCCACACCAUGCUGCCACUGGAGGUAAGAGAGGGGUGUCAUCAGUGACUUCAGACUGUUUUUUCUAUCUCCUCAGUGUCUCUUUGAGUGAUAUGAAGUUAAAAUCAGGUUCUAUGAAUGUGCACCUAAUUUUUUGUUCUUAUAAAGAUUUUUUUUUUCUCUGUAGAUCGUUGUUAACUUGGUGUACUUGUAGAGGGGGAUGAUUGGUGGAGCCUUGUAUUCUGCCAUCUUGCUCCAUUUCUCUAAAAACCAUGUUGUAAUGGUGUUUUACUCUGUAUUAUUGACAAUCAUCAGCAAUGUAAGUGUAGUUCAGGAAAAGGCUUGAAUAUGUGUCUUUAUAUUUGUCAGAGAACAAAUUUACUGGUGGCUGUCACUGAGAAUGCAGCCAUGGCUGGGAUCUUAUAUACCUGACAGUAUUAUUUUAUUUUCUGAAUUCAUGGUCAAUUUUCACAUAUCAGUUUGUUUCACUUCAUGAUAAGGUAAAUAUGCUCUUAAAGACAACUGUGUUUUAUGAAUCAUUGUGGUCACUUUUUAUAGACUCUAGACUGUAACUACUCUUAAAUAAUUGAUUUACUGUACACGUUGGGCUGUGCAUGUCUGGCUAUAGCAUAUUUUGCAUAUGAAGGCUAACAAAUUAAGUAAUAAAAUGACUGCUCAAAAAAACUACUGCUGGCUUAACUGAGG
rnacentral:lncRNA from 1 species